rnacentral:lncRNA from 1 species
UGUGUUUGAGGUAGAAUUUGCAUAUGAAGGACGUCCAGAAGGAGUGUUUGCAAGACAAUUCCAUAAUGAAGAUAUUGAAGUUCAUGCUUGGUCACAAGUAGAAGCCUUGGAGCACUAUCGAUGGCUAUAAAGGCCUAUAAAUCAUUUACCUUGUAAAAAUAAAAUAAAAUAUAUAGUAGACACCAUGCGGCAGAUCUUCAAUUUCUUGUGUAUAUACUAGCUUACUGCAACAUUACUUUUUGGAGACCUCAAAGCUAGAAGAAGAGGUGAUGUUAUGGACAUACAACUAAAGAAGGUUCCAGAAGGUACUAGUAGGUUCUAAGAAGGCUCUUGAAGGUUUUAGGAGAUUCUAGGAGGUUCCAGAAGGUUUUGAAAGGUUUCAAUAGAUUCUAAGAAAGUUUUAGAAGGUCAUAGGAGGUUCUAGAAGAUCCUAAGAGGCUUUAGGUGAUUUAGGAAGUUGCUGAAGAAGGAUCUUAGGCUUACUUCGUUCUUAAACGUCAUAGAAACUUCUUAAGAAGCUUCAUAGGACCUAAUAUAUAUAGGAGUCGACGCUGAGGGGAUCCUCAAUCUCAACAACUUACUUCUUGUGGUCUAGCCAAGAUCUUCUUACCUUGUAUCUAGUUGUUGUUUUAAUGUCCAGUUAACUUUAUUCCUUGAUCUUGAAUCCUUGUCUUAUAUAUGGUUCCUAACAAUACUACAAUCAAUAAUAAAUACAUAAUAUUAAUAAUUAAUUAAUUAAUAUAAAUUAAUAUUAUUUUAAUAAUAGUAAUAAUAAGAAAUAAUUAUUUUUUAUUUGUAGUAAAAUAAAUCAUAUGAUAUAAAAUUAUUAAAUUAAAUAAAGUAAAUAUAAGAUUUUAAUAGUUAAUAACAUAAAUUAUGAUAAAUUUAUUCAAAAAAAUAUAUCUACAUAUAAUUAAGAAUGAAAAAAACUAGAUAAUAAAAAAUAUAUAUUUAUAAAAAAACUAUUGCUAGGUAUUAAAAAUUAAAGAUUUUUAAACCAAAAUUAAAUUAUAAGAAAGAUAUUGAUAAGAAUGAAAAUGUAACAUAUAAUUAUAUUUACUUAGAAAAGUUGAAUCAAAUAGAAGUAAGCAAAAGUAAAUAAAAUUAUCACUUUCUUGUUGAGAAGCUUUUUAGAAGCUUUAUAGACAUUACAUGUAUUUAUAGAUAAUUGAUAGAUUGACAACUUGGCUAUAUAUUGCACAUUUAGCCACUUGUAUUUCAAAUUGGCCAUGUGGUAUAUAUGUUGGAAACUUAUUCUAUAAAUUUGAUAUGUGACUAACAAGUUGAACACUUGUCAUAUGGCCUAUAAAACAUAGUUAUAUAAUUCUUUAGCAUAUAAUAUAUGUAGAGGAAAAUAUGAGGCUUUUUUUACUUUUGAAAAUAUCUUUUUUAUGAUCUAUCUAGGUUUAAGUUUCUUAAUCCUUUUGCAUUUGAUAGUAGUCAUUCUAAUUUCAAUUUCAUAUCUAUUUUUUAAAUAUCUAUUUUCUUUCUUUUGAUGAUAUAAGAAUAUACUUUUAUUUUUAAAAUUAAUUAUGAUUCAUAUUUUUAAUAAAAAAUUAUUUUAAUUUUACAUAUAUAUAUAUAUAUAUAUAUAUAUAUAUAUAUAAAAAAAAAAAAAAAUAACUUGAAUGAUAUAUAGAUGCUUUAUAAAAACCAUAAGGCUUCUAAAUUAAUCUUAAAAGUUGUAUGAUAUAUAGUUACAUAGUUGAUGUUAUUAAUAUAGUAAAUAUCUACUCUAAAAGUAUUGACAAGCUUAUGAAGAUAUACAAUAGUUACAAAUCUAUUCUCUUACCUGCUAAGUAUAAUAUCUAAAAAUAAAUUUAAAAAAAAAAAAUCUAUAAUAAACUUUAAUAAAUUUACAAGUCAAAGUAGAAGAGAAUAAUCAACAAUCUUUAAUAUUAAAUAUUUUUUUCAUAAAAAUAAUAAUUUAUUAUUUUUAAAAAAAUAAUUAAUGGUAAGAAAAUAAAAUUAUUAAUUUAAAGGUGGAUAGUAAGCAACCUUUAAAAUACAAUAAGAGAAGUGUGAUAAUUCACUAACUUCUCAAACAAAAUAAGAAUAAUAAAUAAAAACCUAUAUCAAAUUAUUAAGGAUAUGAAUCACAAAAAAUCAAAGCAUCAAUACAUUCUUGUGUCACUUGAAGAAAAUAAACAAUCACUUAAAGAUAGUAUAAUAUUAAAAUCAUAAUAGCUAUUGUCAAAGACAAGAAGACCAAGUUUAGGGUUUAGGGUUUAGGACCAGGUUUAGGAUUUAGCUUCUAAAAAGCUAAUCCAUAAGAUAUUAAAAAAUUUACUCCUAUAUAUUUCUAUGUCAAGAAUAUGAAACUCAAAGAAAGAAAAUCCUCAACACACUCUUGUAUCACUGAAGAGAACUACAAAGUCACUCAAAAGGUGAUGUAAUAUUAAACUAGAAUGGCUAUUGCCAAAAACAAAAAGAUUAGAAAGUCUUGAAAUAAGACUAAAGAUUAGAAAGGCAUUGACAAGAGUGAAGAAGGCUUCACUCUUGCCUCUUUAUAUACUCUUAACUAGGAGCUACAUGGCAAUAUCCUAUAGGACCUUCAAACGUGUUGACUUUGCUACUUACAUGUCUUAACUUGCAAGGCAAGUUAUCUAUGUAUGUGCCACAUAGUUAGCUUAUUCCAUAAGCUACCAAUAUGUGACUAACUUGUUGGCCAAGUUUCUAUCCUAUAAAUACAUCUAAAGUCAAAACCGCAUUUAUGAAGCUUUUAGGAAGCUUAUCUAGAAGACUUUAUGAAAUUAAUCUAUAUUUACCUACUUCUACCUACUUAUAUAAGUAAUUAUUGAGGUAAAUGUAUAUGUCUGUGACAUUCUAUCUAAUUCCUUUAAUCUAAAUAAAUAUGUAUUUUUUUGAUACUAUGUUCAAUACUUUAGAAAUUUGUGCUUAUUUUAAUUUUUUUAUUCAAAAUACAUUACAAACAUUCUAAUUUUUUACAUUGAAGUUUUGAAAGGAUUUAAUAUUCUAUUUUUUUGAAUUAAAAUUAUAGACAUGUUGUAAAAAAAUAUAUAAAAAAAUUUUACUAUUAUUUUUUUAUAAGUAUUUUUUGUGAAUAUAUAUAAAUAUACACAAAUAUUAAAACUUAAGAAUGUAUUUGAAGAAAAUGCAAACAUCUUGUUACAACCUUGAUCUUAUAAUUGUGCUAUAGUCCUAUAAGAUGUGCUAACUUCUACAUUGCUUCAUUUCUUGCUUACUAAAACUAGAGUUAUUACAAAUAUAAAAAUGGCCCAUAUAAACAUAAUCAAGGAAUUUAUUUAGCAUAUCAAAUCACAUGUUAAAACUCUUGAUUUAUUUGCCAAUUAGAAAAAAUAGCUUCAAUAAAUAUGAAUCAAUUAUCAUAUAUUUAAUAUUUUUGUCAAGAAAGAUUAAUAUUCAUUUCCAAUAAUUUUUGAAAUAUUUAGAAGAACAUUAGUAAACAAAAAUCCAAGCUAAGAUUACUUCAAAGAGAAUUUACAAUCUUAUUUAUUUGAAACAAACAAAGUUAUAGAAUAUAGUAUUUCAUUCAUGAUAAAGAUAUUUUGAACACAAUAAUGUCUUUACUUUAAUUAGGAACCAGUAAUAUUCGAAUUUGGGAAAAAAUGUUUUUUUAGAACAUCUAUACUAUUCCGAAGAUACCACUUUAAUAAAAACUUGGUAUCUUUCAAAACAAAUAAAACAGAAGCAUAACAUUUGACUGCUUCUUAAUUGUUAUAGAUUUAAGCAUUCUAUACCGAAUGAAGGAAGUAUUACUCUAUCCGUUGCCCUCCCUCUGUUCCUAGCCCUUAUCUUCACCCACUCGUUCUCCCUCGUUUUCCAUGAUGGGGUGGAGGGACGAUUUUGUAAAUGGGUGGGUAAUUUGAACAUUUCCCUACAUAUAUAUACACACAUUCAAACCUAUUAAGAAUGAUCCUUUGCAUCUUUAAUCUUGAAACGAUUUCGGCUCUUGCCAACUUUGAGUUUUUUAACAAACAGUUUACAAUUGAUACAUUAUCCUUUCGAAUGGGUGCUAUCAACACCAAUUGUGGCUCAGGCGAUAAAUUGUUGUCGACAUUUACAAUCAGACAAACUGUGAUAUUCAACAUAAGCGCCACAUGUACUGAGAUUAUUCUCUAAUCACGCCAUGCCCUGAAGAAUGAGCUCAGGAUAAAUGCUUGGACAUCUUUAAUAUUCAGCAUCAGUGACACAUAAACCAAGGUCAACCUCUCUGAAUUAAAAGUUGUUAUCCGUAUCCAUUGCUGUGGCUCAGGAAAUAAGGUAUUGUCGUCAUUUACAAUCAGACAAACUGUGAUAUUAAACAUCAGCGUCACAUGCACCAGGUUAACUCUCUACUCUCUCACUGGAAACGUUCUAGAGUGUGAGCUCAGAAAAAAUACUUUUGUCGUCAUCUAUGAUCAGACAAACUGUGAUAUUGAACAUCAGCGCCACACAAACCAGAAAUAACCUCUAUGACUUGCAAGAAACGAACCGUCUUCAUUGAAGUGGCUCAGGAAACAAGUAUAUGUCGUCAGAUAGAAUCAGACAAACUGUGAUAUUCAACAUCAGGGCCACACCUACAGAGGUUACCCUCUAACCAGUUACAGCUCAUGUCCUGGACUGAGCUCAGAUAAAAAAAUUGUCGUCAUUUGUGAUCAAAGAACUUAUGAUUUUGAACCGCAGCGCUACACAUACCUAGAUAAUUAAGACCAAAGUACUCCCAAAUUUCUAGAAAGAACAAUUUAGGCAGGUCAGAAAGAUUCGUGUCGGGAAAAGAAAAAAGAUUGGGAAUCAAGCCUCACUAACUGAAGACAUUUGUUCAAGUUAAGUGGCAAAGCCCUCAAGCGAAAAUUAUACGAUCAUAAAUCACCUAGAUCUUAGCAUAAGUUUCUUUAAACAGUGUGACAGUACAUGGAAGUGAAAUGGCGUAUCAAGCUUCCUCCUUGCGCCAUUAUCGUUCAUGCCUCGACAGAACCUAAACCGGGCAGACACAUGAGCGUAGUAAUAGGGUUUUAGGUAUAUUGCUCCGCUCAUGCUCAGCCCAGUCAGGGAUGUUAAGAAUCACCCAGUUUUUAUUCUGAACUCCUAAUCAACGAGACGGAUUCCCUUCAAUAAUGUAAAAAACUUAUAAAACACAUCUGCAGAAGCAGUUUAGCAUAAAACAAAAGUGAGAACUGCAAAACAUCUGUCUGAAGUAGACCCAUCCCCUAGUAUAUCAUUGUACGGACUAUCGAAAUGUGUAUACUAAUAUCGCAAACUGAAGCGCCAGCGAAAGAAACCAAACAUGACCUGAUUAAGAGACUUUGAACCAAGAGGUAGACUUCUUAGAGAUGGCGAAUACGAGAGAAAGAUCAGGUAGUCGUGCGGAGAUGGCACUUUUCAGAAGAAGAAAAGUGACGCUGCGCAACAAAGGCAGUGGCUAGAUAAGCAUGAGAGCUCCAUUGGGUCGGUGCUAGUACAAUCAAAUCAGACAUGUGUAAGAUUCUACAGAGAAGUUGAAGAUUGCAGUGAUGGCUUGACCGGGCUGAGUCAAACCAUUAGCUUUGAUUCCACUACAUGUUCUCUUAAACUUGUUUGUGUCACAAAUAGUUAUUUUUGUUACAAUAUCGCUCUACACAUUCGUCGAACAUUGUAACAUACUGACACAUUCUAACAUACAACAAACACCAAAGAAAUCUCUAAGGUAGGAAAGGUAACAAAACAAACGCUCUCAAACAC